rnacentral:rRNA from 1 species
UACAGGGGGUGCAAACGUUGCUCGGAAUCAUUGGGCGUAAAGCGCACGUAGGCGGUCUGUUAUGUCGGAUGUGAAAUCCCUGGGCUCAACCCAGGAAUUGCUUUUAAAACUCCAUGACUUGAGUAUUGGAGAGGUUGGCGGAAUUCCGAGUGUAGAGGUGAAAUUCGCAGAUAUUCGGAGGAACACCAAUGGCGUAGGCAGCCAACUGGACAAUUACUGACGCUCAUGCACGAAAGCGUGGGGAUCGAAACAGGAUUAGGAAACCCUAAGUAAGUACCC